GACCACAUCCUACUUCUGGCAU
rnacentral:siRNA from 1 species